rnacentral:rRNA from 1 species
GACGAAGGGGGCUAGCGUUGCUCGGAAUCACUGGGCGUAAAGCGCACGUAGGCGGAUUGUUAAGUCAGGGGUGAAAUCCUGGAGCUCAACUCCAGAACUGCCUUUGAUACUGGCGAUCUCGAGUCCGGGAGAGGUGAGUGGAACUGCGAGUGUAGAGGUGAAAUUCGUAGAUAUUCGCAAGAACACCAGUGGCGAAGGCGGCUCACUGGCCCGGUACUGACGCUGAGGUGCGAAAGCCAGGGGAGCGAACGGG